rnacentral:rRNA from 1 species
AUUGAACGCUGGCGGCAGGCCUAACACAUGCAAGUCGAACGAGUGGCGGACGGGUGAGUAAUGUCUGGGAAACUGCCCGAUGGAGGGGGAUAACUACUGGAAACGGUAGCUAAUACCGCAUACCAUCGGAUGUGCCCAGAUGGGAUUAGCUUGUAGGUGAGGUAACGGCUCACCUAGGCGACGAUCCCUAGCUGGUCUGAGAGGAUGACCAGCAAGACGGGAACUGAUAGACGGUCCAGAUUCCUACGUGAGGCAGCAUUGGGGAAUAGGGCACAAUGGGCGGGAGCCGGAUGCGGCCAGGCAGCGUGUAUGAAGAAGGCCUUCGGGUUGUAAAGUACUUUCGGCGGGGAGGCGUUACCCUCAGAAGAAGCACCGGCUAACUCCGUGCCAGCAGCCGCGGUAAUUC